GACCGCGUAGCUCAGUUGGCAGAGUAUUGGGCUAGUAUUCCAAAGGUUGUAGGUUCGAUUCCCACAGUGGCCA
rnacentral:tRNA from 1 species